AAGUGGGACUAAUCAUUGCCAGUGGCGUUUUUGCAUUAGGGGCCCUUGGGGCACGGCCCCACCAGAUGUCGCUGUUGUGCAAAGGAGAAUUAUGCUCAUCACAAUUAUGUUGUUCAGCGAAACUUCAAGUUAACAAACUGAACUUUGUUUGCUAAAUAAAAUGUUGAAGAUUUCAUUUGCAGAGUGUAUUUCUUCUCUAGACUUGUCUGUAAUCUUGUUCUGUGUGGAUUUGUCUCUGCUGCUCACCUGUUUCUGCUCGGUGGGGCCCAGCAAGAGAAGGCCGUGCCUGCAGCGCUCUGGACUGGACACACUGCUGCAUGUGCAUGCGCGAGGGCCCCAGACGCUUUCCUAUUGGUUGAUUUGGUGUGAGGGUGGGUACUGGGCAUCGCUACCUUGUCAAUUAACUAGUUUGCUAUUUAGAAAAACAAUGAACCGCGUAGAUUAUUUCACGACUGUGCGAUUUGGUACUCUUCCGAUCGAACAUAAAUUAGAGAUUAAAUGUCUGGGACCCCACAGACCAGAGGAUUUCACCCUUUGUCAAGAA